rnacentral:lncRNA from 1 species
AAUCAUCGAGUAAUGUUUUUCAAAGAAAUAUACUUAAUAGGAUUGGUACAUCAAAAUCCAAGGCUUUGAAAAUCAAUAUUUCUAAGAAAAUUUGUGACAUGUGUUUUGACACAAACAUUUAUAAUAAAAAGAAAGUAAAGUUAGUGUGGUUUUCAUGCCUUACAUGGUACAUAGUUAGCAAUACACUACAUUGAAAGAGAGGCACACGUUUUUUUCCUUUCUGUCCACACAUUCGCUUAAAUAAAUGUGCAUAUCCCUCUCCACCGCCUUUGAGCAACAAACGACAAAAGG